GAUGAACGCUGGCGGCGUGCCUAAUACAUGCAAGUCGAGCGAACAGACGAGGAGCUUGCUCCUCUGACGUUGGCGGCGGACGGGUGAGUAACACGUGGAUAACCUACCUAUAAGACUGGGAUAACUUCGGGAAACCGCAGCUAAUACCGGAUCAUAUAUUGAACCGCAUGGUUCAAUAGUGAAAGACGGUUUUGCUGUCACUUAUAGAUGGAUCCGCGCCGCAUUAGCUAGUUGGUAAGGUAACGGCUUACCAAGGCAACGAUGCGUAGCCGACCUGAGAGGGUGAUCGGCCACACUGGAACUGAGACACGGUCCAGACUCCUACGGGAGGCAGCAGUAGGGAAUCUUCCGCAAUGGGCGAAAGCCUGACGGAGCAAUGCCGCGUGAGUGAUGAAGGUCUUCGGAUUGUAAAACUCUGUUAUUAGGGAAGAACAAAUGUGUAAGUAACUAUGCACGUCUUGACGGUACCUAAUCAGAAAGCCACGGCUAACUACGUG
rnacentral:rRNA from 1 species